UUUUCCUAUCAUUCCUUCUCAAAUUAAAUGUUACCAUGGGCCAACUUGAAGCUAAGCAGGACUGCACCCAGUCAGUACCUGGAUGGGAGACCACAUAGGAAAGCUAGGUUGUUGCCGAAA
rnacentral:rRNA from 1 species